UCAUAGAAUUUUUUCAAAUUCAUGAUGUCGUAAGGGAAAAUAAUGAUAAUACCUUACUAUGAGUGUCGUCCAAAUCUGGUGCCAGAAGACUCGGUAAGACCAGAGACGCAAACGUUAAUCCUCAUAAACAGGCGUAAAGGGUUUGUAGGCAGCUUUUACAAGGUUAUGAUUGCAAAAUCAAGGUUAAUCUAAAUUGAAAGCUAGAAUCAAAAAGAGGUUAUAGUGUAUAACGCCUAGAGGAGGGCUGAUAUCCGUAGAUCCUAGGCAGAAUACUCAGGGCGAAGGCCACUCUCCACUAAUGAUUGACGCUGAGAAACGAAGGUUAGGGUAGGAAAUAGGAUUAGAUACCCCGGUACUCCUUUCUGUAAACGAUGAAUGGUAGUCAUUAGUUAAAAUAACUAGAGGCGAAGUUAACACGAUAACCAUUCCGCCUUGUGAGUACUACUGCAAAGUAGAAAACAAAAAAAUUAGUCGGUCUCGAAGCAAACGGAGUGAAGCAUGUUAUUUA
rnacentral:rRNA from 1 species